rnacentral:misc_RNA from 1 species
CUUUCAAUGAAUUCACAGAAGGAGCCAUAAAGACUGUUCAUGAGUCAGAAACAUGCAAAAAAAAGCUCCAAUAACAAGCAUAGAUCAUCAGCAAAAUCACUUUUUCCCCUCAAUAUUUCCAAGCAAAGAUUACAUCAACCUGUUAUACAAUAUAAUUUGAGUGUAUGAUCGAGCCUGAAGAAAAAUUGUCAAAAUAGAAUUGGUAUCACUCACUACGCAUGCUAAUUUAAAAUAGUUUCCGCGAAGCAAAUUUCUUGAUUGCACAGAUCCCCAGAUACACACCGUUCAUAUCGCAAGUUUGGCAGGAAAAAUGAUAGGCAGAGUGGAGGAAUAAAUGCAAUGUGGAAAAGCGUUGUAUCAGAAAUCCGGGCCUUCAGAUUUCCUGCUUUAGAUUCACAUUGAUGAUCCCUAUAUGGGAUUUAGGUUGAAAAUAUUCAUCUGUAUCCACCUCUUCAAUUUCCUGAACAACAUCUUCUCCUUUAACGACCCGUCCAAAAACUAUAAGUUUUUCAGUAAGAUCAGGGAUGGGUGCAGUUGUAAUGAAAAGCUCAAAUCCUUUGUCAUCGUGUUUUCUCUUAGAAGUCCCGAGCAUGAAUGCCUCAUGUUUCAAACUUGUAUCAAGUUGACUGUAACGCUUCCCCUUCAAAGUCCAGUCUUCCGCAGCCCCAAGGCUAUCAGCAUCCCCUGCUUGAAUCACAUAAUGCUUUAUCACAUGACGGAAACGCAUCCCCUUGAAGUGCCCUUUUUCACAUAAGUCAAUGAACUUGUCAACAACUUCGGAAGAACCAUCCUUGAAAAGUUCUACUGUUAUGGUGCCUUUCGAUGUAUUUAAAAUUGCAUAUCCUGGGAGAUCAGAUUUCUUUGGAUCCGGAAAAGCCUGUUCAACCUCAAAGCCUAAUGAUUUACGACUCUGAGUCUGGAUUCUUGACCUAAGGGACCAGUGUCUGUAUGAAGAAUACAAGAAAAAGAUACUCAAGAGAAAAAUCAAGCCGCAGAGAAGAAUAGUAACAGCACUUAUUCGACUCGGGCCCUUCUUCUUCUUGCUCUGUUGCAAGAGAGCUUGAGGCUUGAUCCUUGCCAUCUACAAUAAUCUCAAUCUUCUGUAUACACAAAACCACCACCUGUGUGAUUCC